rnacentral:rRNA from 1 species
UACAGAGGGUGCGAGCGUUGUUCGGAAUUAUUGGGCGUAAAGGGCGCGUAGGCGGUGCGGUAAGUCACCUGUGAAAUCUCCUGGCUCAACUGGGAGCUUGCAGGCGAAACUGCCGUGCUGGAGUGUGGGAGAGGUGCGUGGAAUUCCUGGUGUAGCGGUGAAAUGCGUAGAUAUCAGGAGGAACACCUGUGGCGAAAGCGGCGCACUGGACCACAACUGACGCUGAGGCGCGAAAAGCUAGGGGGAGCAAACAGG